rnacentral:siRNA from 1 species
CAUCUAGUGUUUGAUCCUUUGGAU